GGGCGGAUGGCACAGUGGUAGCGCGCUUGCUUCGCAAGUUCACGAUGUUUCACAUUGUGAGCCCCGUUGCAUGAGGUCGUGGGUUCAAACCCCACUUCGUCCA